UUUAAGGGACGUUGUUUUGCGGAACUGGGGAAUCACCCUGCAAUGCAUCCCCAGGCCGGGAGCUGUUUUUCUGGUCCAGUGGACUGCUGGUAGUCGUAUCUGCUGAGAAGAGACAGCGCCGCCUGGAGGAGCUCCGGGGCGGGCGGGCGCCUCGUGAGACCGGAAGGGGGCCACGAGUUGCACAAGAUUGCUGUGCUGCAAUGUGCUAUGAUUUACUUUUCUCUAACAAACAAGAGAAGAAUUACAGGACUUUGAGAGCUGAGAUGGAGGAAGAAACCAGGAAAAAAUGGAAAUGCUUAUACUUCUUCAUUUUGACAUGGUUCCUUCAGAAAUCUGAUACUAAGUAUCUUUCUGCAUCUGGAGGAGGGAAGAAAGAGACCAUCCAGGCAUUCUGUACAUAAUGUUGAAAUAAAACCCUCUAUUGUCCACCAAGACAAUAGGGCUAGUCUAUAAUAAUGUAGUACAAGUAGGGCAUAAAUGACAUAAGCCAGCAAUGCAAUCUUUGUUCUGGUGUAAUCUUCCAUAUCAAC
rnacentral:lncRNA from 1 species